rnacentral:rRNA from 1 species
AGCGAACGUUAGCGGCGGGCCUAACACAUGCAAGUCGAACGCGAAAGGUCUUCGGACUGAGUAGAGUGGCGCACGGGUGAGUAACACGUAGGUAAUCUACCCUUUGGCGGGGGAUAACGUCCCGAAAGGAGCGCUAAUACCGCAUAAGACCACGUGGUCUCCGGACCGAGUGGGAAAAGGUGGCCUCUUCUUGAAAGCUACCACCGAAGGAUGAGCCUGCGUCCCAUCAGCUAGUUGGUAAGGUAAUGGCUUACCAAGGCAAAGACGGGUAGCUGGUUUGAGAGAAUGAUCAGCCACACUGGCACUGGAACACGGGCCAGACUCCUACGGGAGGCAGCAGUGAGGAAUAUUGGGCAAUGGGCGAAAGCCUGACCCAGCCACGCCGCGUGAGUGAUGAAGGCCCUCGGGUCGUAAAGCUCUGUGGAGAGGGACGAAAACCCUGGUUUCAAAUAGGCUCCAGGCUUGACGGUACCUCUUUAGCAAGCACCGGCUAACUCUGUGCCAGCAGCCG